UACGAAGGGUGCAAGCGUUAUUCGGAAUCAUUGGGCGUAAAGCGCGCGCAGGCGGAUUGAUAAGUCAGGUGUGAAAUCUCGGGGCUCAACCUCGAAACUGCGCCUGAAACUAUUAGUCUAGAAUGUCGGAGGGGGCAGGGGAAUUUCACGUGUAGGGGUAAAAUCCGUAGAGAUGUGAAGGAACACCGGAGGCGAAGGCGCCUGCCUGGACGACUAUUGACGCUGAGGCGCGAAAGCGUGGGGAGCAAACAGG
rnacentral:rRNA from 1 species